ensembl:snRNA U2 U2 spliceosomal RNA
AUCGCUUCUCGGCCUUUUGGCUAAGAUCAAGUGUAGUAUUUUGUACAGCUUGUGUCGUUUUCCAUUGUUGUUGUCAUUUCCAUUUUAUGGUAAGCCUUGAAGAAAUCUAUCACAGGGUUUUCUGGGGCUGAUAAUGUGUGACUUGCCCAAGAUCACCCAGUAAGUUUCCACAA